CACCAAGCUAUUCAACUCCACUGUAGGACAGUGAUAUAUAUUUGCUAUUGGCAAUCCUUGGCACAUGUGUUGUGUGCCUAAAGAAAGAAUAAUAAUGAUAUCAAAAAACAAUACCGUACAUAAGAGAAAUACCAAAUUUUUAGUAUUCAUUUUAUUUGCUGUAUUUGUUAUGUAGAAGGAAGCGUAGAAUCGAUAACAAAACGAAAAUAAAAGCCGUCCGAUAAAAGAGUAAAAUGGUACUAGGAAUGCUACAAACUAUAAAAUAACCUAUAAAUACCAUAAUAUUAAUUGAAAUUUAGUUUAGUAAUAAUAGUACUCAUUUUAUUUGCUUGUACUAUAUGUUGUUACUUAGUAGAAAGACUACAAAACAUAAAUUAAAAAAAAAGUAUGAUAAACCGAUUAACGAAAUUACAAUGAUAAUUUAAAGGCCUAGUUAUAUUAAAAACUCCAUUGGCGCUCCAUAUAUUUGUUGAAAACAAACCGCGACCGUAAUGAAGCGCGACCAAAGUAAGGCGAGACCGAAAUGAUCUGUAUUCAUGCCUAUGCCUAGCCCAUGCCUAGGCCUAUUUACUUUUUUAUUAUAAUAUUAAUUCUUGUUUGAGCUGUAGGUAACUGUUGACAGUGAAUCAAUUUAUAAGCCGUGAGGAAUUUGAAAAGCUUCGUGUAUUCAACCAAGAAAAUAUUAAAAGAUUGUUCCAGAAUGUGUUGCAUCCAUCAAUAGCAACAUAAAUUGACAGAGAUGUCUUGCAAAGUCUGAUCAGCCAAGAAUACAGCAGACCUGCCAACUCACCCGAUCCUGUCGGGUGUCACCCAAUAUUUAAACAAAUCUCCAGUUCUCCCGAUCGAAUGUAAUUUUCACCCGAUUUCACAGGCCAUCCCCCUCCCCAAAAAUACUCCGAUUUAUGCAUAAUUUGAUUGAUUUGAUCUUUAUUAUUCAAUGUAUUCGCCGCCUGCUCACUUUGCGGUGCAAUAAACAAGUAACCAUUUUCAAUUUGAAUGUCACCAUUAGCCAAUGACUUGUAGUGACGUGACUUUUUUGGUAUCUUGCAUCAUUUUUUGGGUAAUUCUGGAAACCUCCAGAUUUUUUGGUAAAUCUCCAGAUUUUUUUAAGAUUCUUAAAAAAAUCUCCAGAUUUUCAUGACCCAAGGGUUGGCAGGUCUGAUACACGGUGCAUCAGAUGUUGCAGACUUGAUGUGCGUAAGUCGUAGCACUGUAUUAAGAAGGUUUCAAAUGUACAAUUUGUCUGCUGUGCAAUAUAGUGACAUUGACAAUGAUACUUUAGAUGGGCACAUUGAGGAAAUAUUAAAGACACUUUCAAACUGUGGUGGGGUUAUAAUGAAGGGAUUUCUCCAUGAAAGAGGCAUUUUAGUUCCCAGGAAGGCUAUGAGAGAAGCAGUAUAUCAAUGAAGGCUUGGCAACACAACGUAAAAGGACUCUUCACAGACGAAUAUACAGUGUUGUGGGAUUAAUUUGUGGCACAUAGAUGGCAACCACAGAUUAAUAAGGUGGGGGUUUGUAAUCCACGGUGGUGUAGAUGGCUUUAGCAGACUGCCUGUUCAUUUAGAGUGUGCAACGAACAGAUCAUCAACUGCUUUGGCUGCUUUCCACAAAGGAGUAGAGAAGUAUGGAUUACCCAUUUGCGUGCGCACAGAUGCGGGAGGAGAAAAUGUUUGGAAUUUGGGAGUACAUGAGAGAAAUACAAGUUGAACUUUUACAGUCGAAUCCAAAAUGCCAUUGAAAAAUUCAAGUUCUUAAAAUUUGACUAACAGAUUGGUGAUAGGUCUGCUUUAGUUGGAAAAAGCACUCAUAAUCAGCGAAUUGAGAGACUUUGGAAGUAUGUUUUUGAGGGAUGUUUGCACCAUUAUUAUCAUCUUGAAGACGAAGGUGGUCUGGAUUAUUUAGAUGAAGUACUCAGCUCUUUGCUCUGCAGUAUGUGUUUAGACUGAGGAUUAAUGCAUCUCUACAGGAGUGGACAGCAGCUUGGAACAAUCAUCGAAUAUGUACAGUUGGACGAACACCUUUCCAGUUGUGGUUUUCAGGCCAUUUGGAGAAUUCCACAGUGUCUUCGAUAAUAUACCAGCAGAGGUAGGUGUCACUCUACAUAAUUAAGGGUUGUUAAAGUUAUAUAUAUAUUUAAAAACAAUUAUUUUAGCAUUGAUAUUUUCAAGUGAUCACAAGCUUCUUUUAGCGUAUAUUUACAAAUAAGUUAAUAAUUUUUAUGUUUUUUAGAGUGAAGCCCAUAAAGAAGAGGAGAAUGUAAAUCCUCAUGUUAUCGUUGAGGAGACCAGCAACCUGUUGCAUCAAAUUCAGUAUGAGAUGUUAUAUCAAGAAAUAGACCCUAUGAGAGAAAAUAUUGUUGGUUGCACAUGAUAAUUAGUUUGUCAGUUUCACAUGUAUCCUGUGAAAUUGAUUUGGUAA
rnacentral:lncRNA from 1 species